rnacentral:rRNA from 1 species
CACGUAGGCACCAAGCGUUGUCCGGAUUUAUUGGGCGUAAAGAGCUCGUAGGCGGUUCGGUAAGUCGGGUGUGAAAACUUUGGGCUCAACCCAAAGCGUGCACUCGAUACUGCCAUGACUAGAGUUCGGUAGGGGAGUGGGGAAUUCCUAGUGUAGCGGUGAAAUGCGCAGAUAUCAGGAGGAACACCAAUGGCGUAGGCAGCUCGCUGGGACGGUACUGACGCUGAGGCGCGAAGGUAUGGGGAGCGAAUAGG